GAGCCCAGAACUUUGAAUUGGUACCUUACGAAAAAAUCACGAUUUUGAAUAUAUGUGUGUUCGAACUUACACAUAUUAAAACAUAAACCACCCUAUUGCAACAUCAGAAAGCAUAGUCUUAAAAUGACAGAAUAAAAAGUAGCCAGUUUAUUAUUGUUUUUUGAGAUUGUUUUGUGGCAUUCGCUUUCAGGAAUAAUAAAUAUUCAGAUCAUUCAUUUUGCUUAAUCAUAUUUCUAUGACAUUUGAUAUGUUCUAAAUAUUAUUAUGGUUGACUUAUAUAUUCACACAAAAGAAUGUAUCUAUUAAAAACGCGAACAUCAAAUGGUUCUUGUUCCCCGAAUACUAUUAGAAUCAAGCUUUUCGUUCUGAACUGACGGUUGAUAAGUAAAAGUUACUCAAUAAUUAAUUAGCAGACGCGUGAAUUACAUCAAGCUUAUUAUUAUUUAAUUUUCAAUUCAUUUAUUUUGUAAGACAAAAGAAUUAUUUAUAAGUAAAGGGAAAUUAAACUGUUCAGUUAGACGGUUUCAAAUGUAUAUGUGUCAAUAUGCGUUUAAUAUUUAAUUGAACUCUUUACUAUGAAAUCUUGCUAUACUGUGCUUUCAAGAUUUAUUACCUUACUAGAGAAAUUUUGAUAUUAGGUGGUGCGAAUCCACGGGAAAAGUUGCAAAGGAGAAUGCUGUGUUUCAUUUUAUGAAAGCUUCUUUAUCAGAAGUUGAGUUUGAACAGCACAGCGAUAUUGUAGACCAAGCAAGUAAAAAAUUUUGCUACCACUUGACGGACAUCUCAAUAUAUAGUUAUGUGGGCGGCAGACAGAUUUAAGCGUUAUGGGCGUAAGAGUGGGCGUGGCACAUUCGCGUAGCAAACUUGCGCUGCGUACAAGGCUACGAAAUCUAAACCUGAAAUGCCAAUUCUCUAUCUUUGAUUGUUUCCGAGAUAUCCGGUUUCUGACGGGCACCAACUCAAUACAAGCUUGUCCAAUUCGUGUAGCCACGCCAUCUGAUUUUCUUAUUAACCGAAACUUCAUGUGUGCCAAGACUUAAACCGUUGUCAGCCAUUUAAAAUACAGACUAAGCCCCUUUCACAUCUGGAUACGAGUCUUUGAGUUCAUUUUGCGCGCAGGGUAUAAAAAUGAAGUGAGAGAAGUGAACAUUUUUUCAGGAAUAUGAUAAAAAAGACUAUAUAGGGAACACUUCGUUUUUUCGUUAAAAGUCGGAAGAUUUAGCAGUACUAAAGAUGGUAAUACUGUUCGGCGAGCAUUUUACAAUCCUCAUGCCUUUUCCAACAUCACAGGCAUCGAUAAGCAGCUCAUUACAACUUUAAGAACGAUUUUGAUGUGCCCUUCAUGACAGCUUCCAAUUCCUUAAUCUCAAUCCUUUUGUUACCGAUCUGCCGAGAUGGCCAUUGAUAAACAGCCGUGGUUUCUAAUAACUGCAAGCGUUCAAAAAUUGUUAAUUCCUAUUGAGAGCUAAAUUUUAGAAAUCUGAUCGUCUUAAUCGCGCCAAAAAAAGUGGUAGGUCUUAAAACCUAACAGACGUGUUAGCUGCAGAUACUUUCGAUCCGGUAAUUUCUUCUGUGAAUUGGGAUAGAAAAGAAUGUAUCUUCCAUUAGAGCAGUGGUCGGCACACACAUAUCAUCACAAGUUUGCCUUGCAUUAGUGUGAGUGUAACAAACACGAAGUUUGCC